ACCACUACUGAUAAGGGAGCUGCCUUACCGCAGUAGGAGCUAAUGCCCCCAAGUUCUGAGAGAAUUUAUUUAGGUCAGCAAAGUGGUGCCUUGCCCAGACUAAAACUCUGGA